rnacentral:tRNA from 1 species
CUCAAUGGUAGAGUUCUGGCCUUCCAAGCCAGCUGUGAGGGUUCGAUCCCCUUCACCCGCUCCA